UGGUUCAGAUGGUAGAAUGCUUGCCUGCCAUGCAAGAUGCACUGGGUUUCAUCCCCAG
rnacentral:tRNA from 1 species